ensembl:lncRNA
GGGGACGUGCACUUGACUGAAAUAUGAUGAGAUAGACGGUGUGUGUGUGGGGGGGGGAGCAAAAACUAAAGACAGCGAAUUCGCCUGCUCAAGGACUGUCAUAACUCAUAGUCAUUCUCAGAAGACCGUGUCGGACAUUCAUUUCUCAACUACAGUGUAAAGAACAGUUGGGAGAAGUUUAGAAAAGGGUGUGUGAGUGAGAUGGAGAGAUACAGAUCAGAGUAAUUCUACUUCCUUAGUGUGAUCCUAAUCUAAAAUAAUAUCAUCGUUAUAAAUCAUCUUUGUUUUAAAAUCAUCACAUUAUUAAUUUUUUUUUUUUUAUGCGUGGAUCUAAGCUAUAAGACUUGCCAAUAUAAUCAGCACUGGUGGAGUGAUUGCUGGAUUGUUUUGAAUAUGACUGAGAGGGAGAAUAUGUUGCUGCUCUGCUUUAGUCCAAGUGCAACACACUGGUCUGCGGUUUGAAACCUCCUCCAGCUAAGCAAGACAGUGUAAACAAUGGAGAAAGACGAAGAGACAGAAGAAAAAAAAACAAAGACAAAGACUCCAUCCUGACAUCUUACCCUUUGGCAAAGUUAUAAAAAGGGCCAUUUUUGUUCAAAAAAAGGAGGUGGUUUUAUGGAAUUUUUAUAUUUGGUGCGCAUUUAAAAGCUCGUUUAGCGUGGUAUGAGUUUAUGGGCUUUCAAGGCAUGGUUCAGAGGAAGAGUUUUCUCUUUCUCUGCCGCUCCUGGAGGUCAUAAAACUCUCUAGAACUCCCAACUAUAAACAUUCACACAGGUAGAUCAAGAAAGUCUAAACCGAAUAAACAGCGAUGUGUGGUAAUCACACACACAUGGGCAGGUUGAGCUGUGGGAAUGCAGCUCUUAAAAGCGGUAGGAUUUGGGGAGUCCUUGUAAAACCUGAUCUCACACACACAGAUAACGAGGAGGAAUUUAGGACACAUCACUCCACGAAUUUCCCAACCAUUUCCUUGGACAGGUGACCUCUGUCAGAGGUGAACUAAAAACGGCCCGAGGGAAAGGAUGCAGAGACCAGCUCAUCACCACAAAACAACAGCUCAACUAAUGCCAGACCUCAGGAUGCACGUGUAGAGCAUGUGCCAUGUGACCUUGCACAGGUCAGCAACAUAGCCUUAAGGUGGCGCCCUUUGUACUUUGACCUUUUAAAGCCAUAAAGAUUUGACAUUAGAGUGUUUGUUUACCUAAUCAGGUCACUGAACAUUCUUGUGGUUGUCAAGACCUCUCAAUGGACUCACUUGGAUCCUGAGUUCAUUUCCUUUUCUGUUUUUUUCCUAAACGGAAAACAAAAUUGAGAUGAAUGCAUUUUCACUUACUGCUCCUUAUGUUUGUCUUUCUAUUUUAGCUCCAUGCUGACAGCAUCAAAGAUGUUACUGUCCAUAUGAUAUCAGCAGAUGGGUUUUUCAUCGCUACCAUGCCAGACAUCAUUACCCCUUAACAACUCUUAUUAAAAAUGAACUGACCUGUCUACAUGUGUGAAUUCAGGCUGAAUCAGGUUUUAAUGUUUAAGUUUCAGCUGAAAGCAACUGACUGGUAAUUAAACAUACACAGGAAAACAUUAAAAUGAAGAGAUAAAAACUUCAUAGCUAGUCAGUAUUUUUUUUAAACCGAGGACAGUGUGAAGUGCACAGAAAUGCCAAACAACCACACACAAAUUUUCUGAGCAUAAAGAGAGUGCUGGGUCUUUACAUAGGGGUGGUGGGAUAAUAGGGAGAAUCCCUAACAAAGGCCAUUUUGACAGAGCGAGCUUUGUCUGCGUCAGCCCACAAAUUCAUCCACUCCAAAUGAACUCUGCAAAAAUAAUGGGACUUUAAAUAGUGCUGGCCCUUGAAAAACAAAGCUGUUCAGCCCAUGAUGCUGACCUUUUGUUAUUUAUCCCAAAUCACUUUAAUCCCACCCCAGUAACAAAAAUAAAGUUUGUAAUGUGCCAAAAAUAUCA